rnacentral:lncRNA from 1 species
UUCAAUCAAUCAAAGAGUUCUCGUCAUUCAAUCAAAGUGUGUUCUAGACAGAUAACCUCAUAAGAGAAAGAAAUCUCUUUCUUGGUUUCCUUCCUUCGAUUCCAAGUCUUUUUGGUGUGUUUCUAUACAAGCAAAGUUGUUCUUCCUGGCUGCCUAAAAAAUUCCGAUAGCCCCCCACUGUACAGAGAUCUUCCCGUCCCUCCCUAUUUACACGAGACGAUCGAUCGAGGAGAAGAAUAAAGGGGAAAAGUCGCCGGGAUCAAAACACCCACGCGCCCUCCCACCCCGACUUGUACUCCUCCAAAUCCUCCUCGUCGUCGCUGUAGUAGUAGCGAUCGUCCACCGGGGCGGCCACGGCGCUCCCGUCCAUGAUCUUCUGGAGGAGCUCGUACGCCGCGUUGAUCUCCUGGAACUUGGGCGCGCAGUGAUCGCCCUUGCAAACAUCCGGAUGAUACUGGAGCGCGAGCCUCCGGUAGGCGCGCUUGAGAUCCUGCUUGGAAUCGCCCGGCCGGAUGCCCAGCAUCGAGUAGGACUCGCAGGGCGCCACCGGCGAUGAUCCAUACCUCGCGCUCGCCGCCGCCGACGCGCGCAGCCGCAAAUUCGACCGCCCAUUCCUCCAUCCCUGCCGGGGCUGCUGCUGCUGCGGGGUUUGGAUCGUCCGAGAGACAUCCAUCCCCGAGAAUUGGGAAGAACCCACCGCCGCCGUCGCCAUUCGCCUUGCCCUCUUCCUUCUCACGAAUUCGCUCCCUUCGCUUUCCCUCUCUCGAUCAACACAACGCAAGGAAAUCGUUGCCCUAGAAAGGCAUCACUCCUCUCGUGCUUAUAUACUCUGCCAAGAAAAAGGGGCGAAAAGGGUUUGAGUUUACCCAAACGCCCACAAAUUGGGGUAAAACUGGAUAAGCUCAAAGGCAUAUUCCUGUGGAUAAGCCGAUGCCGCUAAAAUUAGGGGGAUUCUCGUAACGCGGGCCAACGUUUAUUAGUUAAAGAUAGCAGAGAAAUGAAUUCCGGCCAUAUAUGUGGCGACACGUGCGCGUACUGUAGCGUAGUCUCGACACGUUAGUGACGUAGCUAUUUGUAUCGUACGCUGGCGGCACGCUACGUGGAAAUGGUCCCGCCUUGCGUGGAUGUUACUCUUAUCCAGUGACCACCAAUCAAUCGUUUGAGUUAAUAUUAGUCUUGAUCAAACUUAACUAUAUAAUCCAUGAGCUUAAAGAUACCUUUAGAAGGUUAAAAAAUCUUGAGUUCUUCCUGAGCUAACGUUUACCUUUAGAAGAUUCGAAAAUCUCAUCAAAACUUUGCGUGAUAAUCACGUCAAGUGUCAUCUUCCAUUUGUUUAGCAUGACAAACUUCUCUAUAGAAGAUACCUAGUAUAUCCUGCAAAUGCCGGGCUUCGUCGUCUUCGUGAUCGUAGCCUGCCCGUUAGUCGUCAACUUCGAAAGCUUGGAUUUCUUCCUCCUCGAUGAAAUCCAUCCCGACGCAAGCUUGUCGAAAUCCAGCACCAGCUGCGCGAUUGCCAGGAGCAGCGCCAGGAGCAUCGACUGCCCGACGCUGCUGCUCUCGGAGGACAUGAGCGUCGCGGUGGAAGACGCCGAGGACGAGGCGAGCGGAUUGAGCUGGACUGGAAACUCGCAUCCCCCGGUGGAUGGAUUCGCGGUGGUGAUCAUCCCCAGGCCGUCAAAGACGCAGCUCUCCUCCUCCUGGUUGUUGAUCUGGUAGUAGCUGUUGAAAGCGUACGACGCGUUGCCUUGAUCGCCAAUGUGGUUGCAAGAGCCGCCAUAGACGAGCGCUGUGCAGUCACCGUGCGAGCAAGCGUAGUCGACGCUCUUGGCGAGCUUGGUCAUGUCGCCCUCGGGAUUGAGCACGCACCACCGCCACGGCAAGUACUGGACGUCGCUGGAAAAGUUGGCGAGGCCUGUUCCCAGCACGUCCAGCCCGUACUUUGCUCGGCCGUCGUAAGUGUAGAUCCCCCAGUGCCGCUCAAAGUUGCCGGGAAGGAUGCUCUUUUGAUCUUCGUCGAUGAGCGCGAAGAGGUAAACGUCGAGCUCCUGGUUGGGCCGGAGCGGCGUCCCCCUGCCGCUGGUGAUGUGCGCGAGAAGCCCCUGAUUGAAGCGCUGCGCGUUGGCUGGAUUCGCGUUCACGUCCCCGUCCGUCGGCCACCCGACCUCUCCAACGAUGAUCUUCAUGUCCGGGAAGCCGUUCCUGUUGAGCGCUGCGACCAGGAGAUCGUAGCUCGCGUCGAAGACGUUUGUGUAGGUGUUGCCGUUGAAGUCGUGGAUGGCGGCGGCGCCGGUGGUGCUGCCGUCGAAGAACGCGAACUCUUGCGGGAAGUGUGGAUCCUGGUGGAGGCUGAGGAACGGGUAUAUGUUGACGACGAAGGGAGCUUGGUGCUUGGCGAGAGUUGAGACGAGCGUGUCCAUGAGCGGCUGGAUGUCGGGCCGGAACAGUCCCGCCGAUGGUAAUGGGGAGCCGCCAUCGCUGAGAACGUCGGCGUUAAGAGGAACCACCGCCUUGAUCGGCUCCGCUGAGUUGAGCUUGUCCAGCGCUCCUUGGAUGUUUCUCAGCGCUGGGAGGGUGACGGAUUCGUAAGUUGCGUUGUAUGCCUUGAGAAAGGGCUCGUUCCCGACUGCCACAUAUCUGGAACGAAAGAAAAAAAAGAGCAACGAAGUUAGCAAGUUUUCAAUCGAUCCAUCGAUCGGUGAAGAGAGAAAAAAAAAACUAAAAUUUCACAUCCAUCACUCGUGUCUACGAUCAAACCGCGACCAUGCAGUAAGGAAACAUCAAAACCACGAAAAAAUAUAGAAACAAACCCCAGCAUGCAACGAAGAAGGAAAAAAAAGAAGAAAAAUAACCGCUACUUUGAUCUUGGAAGAAAAGACUACCUGAUUUUCACCUCGGGGAGAUGCUGGGUCACAUUCUCCUUGACCCAAUCCAGCGCCGCCCGGGGGCUGUUCGCGAUCUUGUCCAGCAUUUCGUUUGGAAUCCCGACCAUGAGCUCCACAUCGCUGUUGGCAAACAUACCGACGAUCUUCGAGUCGGCAUCGAAGAGCUUGAGCUUGGUGAUAUUGCUGGAGCUGAGCAUUCGCAGCACAACCUCGGCGGGGAGCCUGUGCGAUGCCAUAUUUCCCCAGUUCACCCCAAAUCCCACCGCCGACGACGAUCCAAGUCUCAUCGCCGUGACAAGCGUGAGCGCGAUCGAGAGCACCAGAGGAGAAAAAGGGGGGUACAAAGAGCAGCAAGCUCUUCUUGGCGCUGACCUCGAUCUCCCCGGCAUUUGAUCGCGCGGCCCCGGCCGGAUGAUCCUCCUCCUUUCUUGCUCCAAGAUCAAGAAGGCCGAUCCUCCCUGCCGCAUUCGAUCGCUCUCAAUCUCUUUCUUUCUUGCCCCAAAAGAACCAGAGCGCCAAAGCCUAAAAACUUUCCUCCAAUGUGAGCUCUUGCGCAAAGGAAAGGAAACGAAUGGUCCCUGUUAAGAAUGGAAUAAAGCAAAUUGUUCGUUAUUAGACAGGUUCGUUGGUUCCUGUCAUGGGACGAGGAUCAAAGUGACCUCCCGCGAAUCUACAUAGUAUAUUCUACGUGGAGCAUAUCCUCUUACAUGUUGACGCAUAUUCUCCAUACGAACAGACGGUCAAAAUUCUUCCCAGUUUUUCUUUAGCGCGGACUUCCUAGAGGACAAGGUUGAGGACGAAGACGAUCAAGCCUCGAAUGGCAUAAGCGCGGGCGUGAAACUCGCGAGCCUGGAAGAAACGAAAAAUCUUGAUGAUCUAUCGAUCGAUCGCAAAAAACUUUGGAAGCUUACCGAAGACGAGCGGGGCGGAGGACGACGCUUGGUGUUCGUGCCGAAAUCCGGGACUCGUCGAGGAUUCACGGACGCGUCCGGAUGGUGGCGAGCGCUCACCGGCGAGAGAAGUGGGGUGUCAUCUGGUGGACUGUCCAGCCAUGGCGAGCAAGAACUGUCGGAGUCAUGGGACGUGUCGUCGUCGUCAUCGUCGCUGGGAGCUGUGGCGCAACCAUUGUCAGCUGGACUUGAAUCGUCCGAGGGAGAUGCCGCGGCAGCUGCUGGGCUUCCGGCCGGAGGAAGAUGGAUCAAGGAUGACUGCUCCACCACUGUGAUCGCGAACUUCUGGCCCAGCUGGCAGUGUGAGUAGUAGUCCUUGCUGCAUCCGAAGUAGUAAGUUCCAGGCGCUGGAGCAGUCCACUAUCAACAACGAAAAAUCAGUUCCCGAUUGAUCAAUCACGUAUACUUAAGUCCUGCGACAAAAAGAACUCCAAAUCGAAAGAACUUACAGUAUACACGCCGGAAAGCCCUUCGUCGAGGAGCGUGCUCUCGGUGAAGUUGCAAUUCACGUACUCGCUAUGGUUCCGGAACAUGUGAAUGUUGUGGAGCUGUGGAAAAAACAGGAAGACUGCUAGAUCUUUUAGAAACUUCGUAUCGAUGAAUCGUUUUGUUGCGAGAGUUAAGUUCCACAUACCGAUGUCAUCCCCUGGGACGAGAGUGGUCUUGGAUGCCCAGGCAGCGUAGUCGGGAGUCUGGCCGCUAAAGAUGUUGAAUUGCGUCCAGCCGAUCUCGCCCCCUACCUUGAGCACUUGCUUGCUGGAGCAAGGCGGCAGCAGCGACCACAUGAGGAUAAUCCCCGGGAGGAAGAGCGCGUUCAUUGCGAUCGAACGACCUGGAAAUUCCCAAAGAUUAGCUCGAUAUUUCGAUAUUUCGCGAGAAAGAGAGGAUCUUCAUCCGGAGAGACAGAGCGAUCGAUCCGAGCACAAGGCGCCGAUGCUAUGGCGUUUCCCGGCCUCGAUCGGCAAGAUCGCGAAGAAAAGAGAGGAGAAAUCUCGCAUGCAAAGAAGAUUUCCAGCGCGCGGCGGAAGACGAUCGCAUUCCUAUCGCGAUCGAGAAUCCACACAGAGCUUGGAGAAUGCGGUGCGUACCAGGAAUCCAAGGAAGCCGCGCCGCUCCGCCAAGAGAAGGAAGACGAGAGUAAUGGAAAUGGCCAGAGGCGAGGGUUUUAGAAAUAAAAGAAACGGAUUACUCUUAAUCGACCAUCGCUAAUCGUUGUUAUGUUUGAAAUAAUACACAGUCAGCUUUUGGCGCGCAAGCACGUCAGCGAACAACCUGUGAAAAUAGGGUUCUUCCCUUCCAGCUAGGGCGCGCGCCCAUGAGCUCACUGGCGCACGGUCGACCGCCUUCAAAGUGCCUGUAGGUGAUGAUACUGUAAGCGCCGUUUAGAUAACUCUUCUCGAUUCUACGAUCUUGUCCAGGAUUCGACAUUCUUUGAUGAGCCUUCGCAGGAAGAGAUCGUUAUAGGAGGAAUGCGAGGACAAACUCCUUCGCCGGCGCGGUUUACACCGUCGCCGGCGCCAUCGCCAGUGCCUGGAUCGUCUGGAAGCUCCAAUGGGGAGUUCUCAAAUCAGCAGCGGGUACUCUUUGAAAAAAUUUCGCAAUGAAUGAUUCGUUUGAGUAUACGCAGCUUAAAGACGUCCACAAGAAAUAUCGGAUCAUCGAAGGAACUCGUCGCAUCUAUCAUGGCGAGAGCGAGGGGAUUCUCAGACGGCAAGAGGCCACGCUUGCGAAUAUCAGGACUGAUAAUCAGUCGUUGCGAGAGAAUGUCGAUAGUUACUUCAUACCAGUAAGUAUGCUUUCCUCGUUGGUUUAUCAAUCGUAUUUGCUCGUCUUUGCAGAACUAUGAGCUUCAAAUGGCUCAGCUCCACGAGGACGCAGCUAAGUUUGGCGAACUCGUUGAGCACGAAGCAAAGAGGCUCGAGGAGCUGGAACUUGCGGUUGAAAAAUCCAAAGCCGACAAACUGGAUUACAAAAAAACACAAGGAGGAGUACAUGCAGCUCGUGACAGGCAUCGCAAUGCUUUGAUCCAUAUACAGAUAACGGAGAACCGGAUUCACAAGGUAUCUAGUGACACCAUGGUAGUCUUACAUUAUUUUGGUUUCAGGUACUCGUUGAUCUGAAUAUUGUGGAAAGGCAAAAUAGGAAUCUGAAGAGAAAGAUGAAGGAAAUCAGGGAGGAGCGCGAACUUUUCGACGACAUUCGUUUGAAGCUCGAAAAGGAGCUUCAGUGGAAGGAGAAGGAGAUGGAGAAAUGCAUCGAGCUUAGCAGCUUGUUAUACGACGAGAGAAAUGACAUUGAGGAGCGUUUCACAGGUUUAUAACCCCGUUGAGUAUUUCACUUAUGUUGCAACUUCAGCCAUUGUCAAGUUUCUAAACUCACGCUCCUAACGUUUUGACCUUUCCAGAUGUCUUGGAGAUGCACGGAGACAUGGAGGCUUACAAAAUGUGGGAAGCUUCGAAGGGUUGGGCUGUCAUGGAACCAGAGCCUGUAGAAAACUUCUUGCACGUUCAACCGAGAUCGGUAUGGGAUUCAUGACUUAUGACUUGAAACUUAUGCAUUUCUGUCAUGUUCUACAGACGGAGGAACGUAAAGAGCCUAUGGAUUGCAGCGAGUAUUUUAGGCAGUGGAUUGAUGUGAAGUCGAUCUCAAACAUUCAAGACAUCUUGGGGAUUGAUAGUGUUUACGGGAUGGUACAAGCAGUCAAGGAGUUGCAGCAAAAGAAUGUUGCAAUUAUUGCCAGGAUGAACGAGCUUGUCAAUGUAAGUUGUCUUACAGUUCCUUUUGGGCAGAUUUGGGACAAUUCACAUUUUCAGGAAAUGGACACCAUCAAAGCCUUGCCUAAGCCUUUUGACUUAAAUAUCGAAAGUGCUCCAAUCGAUCCAGACGCAAAAAAGAAAGUUGACAUGGAGGCAAUAAUGGACAAGAUAUCUAGCCUUUUGAAAGAGCUAGAUUUUGAAGAUGAAGAGUACAUACUUAUUAUAAACGAGAUGAAAAAACGAGUUGGCAAAGUCUUCAGUGAAGCAGGUAUGUUUAUUCUUUCACUAGCAACGACUGACUUUACUUCCGCAAUUCCAGGUUGCGCUGUUGACGGAAACGCGCUGACAAAUGAGAAGGGUAAGGCCCGAUUAGAGGAGGCCUUGGGUCAGUGGUACAAUACUAUAGACAGUUUUGUCGACCAACUCAUAAAACAAGCGAAGGAGUCUGUACAGAAGAAGUAAACAUUCGAGGUAAUCUUAUGAUUCAAGAAUUAAAAUGAAUUGCUAGCAGAUUGUGUACAGUUUGAGAAUGCAAGAGGAGUUUCCAGCAGAGCUCAGUUACAAACGAGCUAGCUGCCGAACGUUUAUGGGCUCAACUACAGACUGAUCCCCUUCCAGGAUUCCUUUUCCAAGCACGUAAUUUGCGGCCUCCGAAGUAUGGUAUGGAUCCCAGAAAAAAUGUUCCGUCCUGUUGGAGCAAACAGAGACGGAAGGGAUGCAUGAGAUCAGACCUCUGUACGGGCCACCAGCGCCACAGCAGGCCGUGUCGCUGUUUGCAAAUCCUGCAAGGGGGAGGAACAUUCAGCUCAGAAGCUUCAAAACUUCACAAGCAUGGCGAAGCUCCUACCGUAUUUCCCCGGGUUUUUUAUGACGGUGGUGACGGUGUCAUAAGUGUUGACAUAGACGAACUUGGCAUCCGGAAACUGCCCGUUGAGAUCGAAAACAGUCUGCCUCAGCGCCUUGUUGAAGUUGAGAACCAGCUCGUUGGGUUGGGGAGCACAGGUACUGUUUCUUUGGAAGUUGACCGUGAGCUGAUAUGGAAUGCAGCCUAUUGGACCCGCUCCUGCGAUGAUGAACUUGCGGGCGUCCAGCUUGUACGCAUCCUGGCAAAGAAGCGGUGAGACCGAGAUGAGCGAGAACUCUCGAAAAAUCCAACAAGGAGGCAGAAGCUUCUUACAGUCAGGAGCUUUUUGUACGUGGAGACUAGGCGGACUUGGAACUGCUGGGGGGUGUACAUAAGAGGCGUGGCAGUGACAGGCGCAACGUAAUUGUUGAGGUAGUCAUUGGAGCCGAUGACAAAGCAGAAAAUAGACUUGGAGAGCAUCUGGUACGCCGCCUUUUGUCCGAGCAGGCCGAUGAUCUGGGACCGGGUGUUGCCGUAGUACUCAAUCUGCUUUCCAAGGGGCAGUCUCUGCAGCUGCGAAAGCCAGGCAAAGGACCAAACAGGUUGAGCAGCAAGAACGAUCGAAGAAAACUUACGAAGUAGAGCCCGGUCUCGUCGAGAACACCAGCUCCGCCGGACGCGUAGUUGACACCUUUGAGGAUGGCAGUCCCGUUGGUGCUUGGAUCCAGAUACGGCGGUGCUAGUGGAAGUCCAAGCUCCUGGGCUGUUGAGAAAGGAGACAAGGCAGCACAGGGUGGAAGUUAGGAGGAUGGUAGCGCUGACGAUACUAUUUAGUGCUACUCGGCGCUUACCAACAACGUCGGUCACGGUGAGGCCAUUGCAGAAGCGCCCGGUUGCAACGCUGCCCUGGAAGUCGAUGCCGUUGUGGGAGUGAUUGGCCUGGGAGAGCGACUGGAGGAACUUGUUAUUGCCAGAGUCGACCAGGGAAUCGCCAAAGACGAAGAAUGCUGGGACUUGAGGAGCUUCGGCUGCGCGGAUGGUCUCGAGGGACGCGAGAAACAAGAGAAGGAGCGAAGUGGAAAGGGCGGCGAGAGUGAUUGUCGCCUCCUCCAUGGCAGCGAAGUGGCGGGGCGGCGAGCUUCCACUCCUCUCCAGCACCGGCGUUUUACUUAUAUGUACAUUUGGAGCGGUGUAGAUUAAUUAGGUGAAGACUAGCGACUAACCGGAAACUAAGGGUAAAGAUUUAUUGAUUUAUUACCAAGGUAUUACUAUUUUCUCUAGAGAUAGGGCAUAAUUAUAACUUUAUAUCCUUUUAAAUUUGUCAUAUGAAAGUAGUGGGAUGCUAAAUUAAUUAAUUUGUCAAGUGGUAAAAAUUAUGAAGAGAGGAUUUGCAGUGCAUCAGAUAUAUAUAUAUAUAUACAUAUAUACAUACAUAUAUAUGUUUAUAUGUUUAAUUCAGAUUACUAUAUAUUAGUGAUAUUGUAGUUGAAAUCAAGAAUAAUAAUAUUAUUUCUAAACCAUGACCAAAAUAAUUUGAUACUUAUGGUGCAUAAUACAAACAUGAAAUUUCAGUAUAAAAACUCUUUUAUUGCUUCAAGUAUAAAUGAUAAACCUGAUUUAUUAAAGUAAUUACUUUAUAUAUUAUAUUUAGUUUUAUAAAUAUAUUAAUAUUUUAUUCUGUUAAGAAAGGCUAUAGUGUUAAUCCAUAAGGACAAUAGAUUUCAUACAUAAUUAAUUAUUAAUUAUUUUUAUUUUGUGUUGUAAUAUUUUAUUUCAAAUUGGUGUGAUAUCUCAAGUUGUUAUCUACUAAUAAUAUUAUUAGUUUCAUAAAAUCUAAAUUGCUAGAUAUUGCCAAUAUUAUUAACUCCAUUAUUUAAUUUUACUUAUAUAAAUAUGUUAAUUCUUCUUUUUUUUUGAGAUGAGAAAGGUUAUGAUUUUUUUUUUCAUAAACACAACUUUAGCACCACUCUAUUUAUAUAAGCUAAUUAUUUUUUUUAGUUUUCUUAAAAAGUAUUUUAUUUUUAAAAAAUAAUAUUUUUCAUUAUAAAAAAACAACUCUACCUUCUCAUGUUUAAAUUGUCAUCUAGGUUUUUCCUACAAACAAGUGGAAUAAAAGAUAUUGGGAUGAAUACUUCAUAAAACUUUAGCUCUACACUUGCAUGAUCCAUUAGUCAAAGUUUGUAAUCCAUGAUUGUUCAUUAUCAUUUGUGGCAUAUGUAAAACUUUAUUUAAGUCAAAGAAUUGACUUCUUUACUUUUAGUGUUACUCAUAGCAUUUAUAUAAUAGGGAUAUAAUCAUCUUAUAGUUAAUCACUUGAUGGAUAAUUAUAUUGUGAUUAUGAUUUAAAGAAAAAAUUAAUCACAUAAUUACAUAUUAGUUUUAUAUGUGCAUUAAUUGCCAAGUAUGAUUAUAAAAGAAGGCACUCUCAAGUUUCACACCCAUCUAUAUAUUUUCUAUAAACAUUUAUACUUAUAUAAAUAAAUAAAUGAAUAAAUAAAAAUUAUAAUGUAUCCACUUUUAUAGCUCAUUUUAAAUAAUUAAAGUGAAGAGCUUGAAAGAUAGUCUUCUAGAUUUUUUUUAAUAUAUAUAUAUAUAAUCCCAUGAAUAAAUAAUGUACCAUUUUUAUAUUUAUUGGUUAAAGGUUUUGAAAUACAUGAAGUAAACUAUUUUUUAGGUUUAAGUAGUGUUAGUCCACAAAGUUUAAAUACAACAGUUUACACUCUUUGAAUUCAUGAUGAUAAAAUGUUAGUAUUCUGAUAAUUAUCAUAUUAUUCUUUACUUUGGUGAUUAUCAUAAUUAAUGCACUAAAUGUUUUGUGAUACUGUAGUCUAUAAUUUCUAAAUAUAAUAGUAAAAAUCUUAAAAUAAAAUUUAUUAUAAUACACUUAUAUUUUGCUAUUAAUGUUGAAGGGCAUAAAUAUAUUAACUUAAAACCUAACUAUAUAUGUGUGUGUUUUAUAAUGUAUUUAAAUUAAAUUAUUGUAUGUUAGUGAUUUUGUAGCUCUAUGUGAUUUAAAUUGCUUUAAGUUAGGGACAUUGUCAUAUUCAUUUGCAAAACUUGAUACAUGAUCUAUAUCAAGGAAUGUUUUUUUUUUUAUUUUUUUAUAUAUAAAUUGAUUAUUAUUUUUCUUCAUUUGAGAAAAUCAAUAGUUUUUAUACAUCCAUAGUUAUUUAUUAAUCUUAACAUUUUUCAAGUAUAUUUUAUUUCUUAUUGAUAUGAAUUUCAAGGUUAUAAUAUACUUUCAGUUAAGAUCCAUGUUGUUGCAUGUUAGUAACAUUAUUAAACUUAUUACCUCUACUUGUUUCAUGAUUAUUUUUAGGUGAAUUUUUUUUUCUUUAUUUUACUCUUAUAAAUAUGUUGAUUGUUCAGCUAAUUUAGCUAAGAAAGACCAUAGCUUUUAUGCAUAAGCUUAAAAUUAACAUCACUUUAUCUAUAUGAGGUAAUUGCUAGAUUUUUCAGUUUAAGAUAUUUUAUUUUAAAAAACUUCUUCUUUAUUCUUAAAUUAAAAUUUGUUUUUGAAUGUUAUGUUAUUAACAAUCAUGAUAAAUGUAGCAAGCUGAUAUGGUUGAAUAUUGAAGGUAUAAAGAUUAGUAAUAGUGGUAGUGCUGAUGGCAUUGAAAAUAUAAAUUCUAAAGUUUAUUUUAAUUCUUUAUUUGUAAGCUUUCACUACUAUUGCAAAAUAUUUAUUCAAUCAUUCAUUUAUAUAUUGCUUACAAGGUCUUGCAACACCUCUGAAGAAACAUGAGAUGGAUGGGUUCAAAUAUGCCACAGUGACAAUUACUGUGAUUGUUUGUCAUCCAAUAAAGAUAUGUAUAAAGAAAUUUAGAUGGGAUAAAGGUGCUUUAAAUCCCACUUGAUAGCAACUUGUGCAUUGGGGAUACCUUAAUUGUGAGAUAUAUACAAAUAGAUUAUGAUAAGUAGACAAAGUUAAUCUUAUAUGUUAAUAUGAUUAUAUUUUAUGUAUUAGCUCAGUUACAUUACUUUGGAGGUCAUUAUCAAUUCGAGUUUUGAACUUACACAUGGCUGCUGGUUUAAGCUGGACACGACCAGCCCUUUGACCAAACGAAUUAGAGAAAGUUUAAACCAUAAUAAAGGUUAGAUUGAGCUAUAUCCUAGAAUAUAUUUGAAUAUUCAUGAUUUAAUCUUUAUAACGAUCAAUAUUGACAAGGGAAGGGCGAUUUAAAACAUAUACGCCAGAAAGGAGGUCAAGCCGAGCGGCUCGAUUAAAAAAUACCAACACUUGGCUCUUCCUUGAUCAGCCACGUGGACGUAAUUAGGGUUCUUGCGUGAUGUUCCCAUCUUUUUACCUUAUAAGGCCCUAGCGCAUCGCAUUUAUAACUCUUCAGGAUGGUCUUUAUGGUGGUAUUGAUCUUGGCCGUGGGAUUGCAGAUUCUCUCCGACUGGGAGAUAUAAAUGCUGGCCCUUGGUAAUUUGUUUUGAAUAGGAUCCCAUAGCUUGGGAGUGAGAGAGAGAGAGAGAGAGGAAAUCCAAAGCUAUGGUGGAACUAGGAUCCCUGCUGUGGUGUGUUGCUCUGCUGGGCUUGGUUGUAUACAAGGGAAUUUGCAUCCAUCUGAGGCGCCAGCGAGCAGAGUUUAUAGCAUCUCUAGAUCCCGUACGAGAUGCGCACAAGAUCGUGUGGUAUCUCUAUGCGGUGGAGUUCCCAUUUCUCUCCCAGAAAGCUCUCGAGUUUGGCACCAUCCAAACCCUGGGCAUUCCCUCCAUCACCAAGCUCCUGUACAAGACCAAGUAUGGGCUCAAGGAUCCCCAGAAGCGCGCCGCCGAGACCAACAUCUUGGUGAGCGAGUUCCUCCACCACCACGUCGAUAGCGACCGUGGAUCCUACGCGCUGAGGAGAUUGAAUGGCAUCCACGCCCAAUUCAAGAUCCCAAAUCACGAGUUUGUCUAUGUGCUCUGCUUGAACGUCGUCAAGCCCAUGGAUUUUUGCCGCGAGUAAGUGACUAAGUGGUAGUGGUUCUUUCGAUGUGUUCUUCCGGUGUUCUUGGAAUAGAUCUCACACAAUGUAUGUAUAUGUUGUUUGAUCAAUGCAGGUUUGGAUUCCGGGCGUGGACGCCCCGCGAGGAGCUCGCGUCCUACACGCUCUGGCACGACAUUGGGCUCCGGAUGGGACUGAAAGACAUCCCGGAGAACAUCCAGGCGAUGCGCGACUACAUCGACGAAUUCGAGGAGAAGUACGCCAAAUUCGACGAGAAGAACAAGUCCAUCGUCCAGGAGCUCAAGCACCUGGUGCUCGACUCCUUCCCGCGCCGCGUCCAGCCGGUGGUGGAGACGGGCAUCUGCGCGCUCAUCGGCGAGCGCAUCCGGAUCGCCACCGGGCUGCCAAAGCCACGCGCGAUCGUCGAGUGGGCGGUGCUGUCGGCGCUCAAGCUCCUGUCGGGCACGAUGGUGUCGAUCUUCAUGCCGCCCAGGACCGUCGCGGGGGCCAAGGGGAGCAUCGACGUGGACUGGAGCCCCAACCCGGAAGCUCGCCCGGAGGAGCUCCGCCCGCUCAACGUCAAUGUGUAUCGCCCGCCGAGCUUCGAGAAGGGGUACAAGCUCGCGGAGCUGGGAGCGCUCAAGCCGGGGAAGAUCGGGCCGCGCUAUGGCGAUGGAGCUCUGCUGUGCCCAUUGUUUCGCGCCUAGAAAUUUCACAUGGUUUCUUACAAUCAUAAACUAUGUGAUGAUUUUUCCAGCGAUUAAAAUUCGUGGAGGGGGGAGUCCCACAUGUAUCACGGUACCAUGGAUUUGUCUGUACUACAUCAGGAAAUCCUGCCACCCAUGUUCACGUAAAUAAAUUUGUAAGCUUUCCUCAUAUGUAUUUCUUGCUUGAAUCAGAGAUAAUUUAAGCCCGAUCUUCCGAGUGGAGGCUUUUUCGACGAUUUUUUUUUGUGUGGAUCUUAUGUGGAGGAUCUUCUCUAAGUCGUAUGAUUCUAAUGUGAUCGCCUUCAAUGGCCAGGAUUUAUUUUCAUAGCAAUGAUGUCAAGUAUAAGUAUUCCAUCAGCUUAUCUUGGAGCCACGAGCUCGAUGUUGUUCGUCGAGAGUACGUCGAGCUCGUCGAUCCUGGCGGACGACGACGAUCCAGCCACGGCAUCACCCUCGGACACAUCAAACCCGCCCGACUUGGCUUUGGUCCCCAGUGGCUGGCUGUGAUCGUCGUCGAACGAGUAAGCCCAGCUCGCCAUUGCCUUCCAUAUGUCUUCCAAGUUUCGGACCACCCCCCGGAUGGAAGGCCGCUCGUCUGGAUUGUCCGCGCAGCAUGUCAGCGCUAGCCUCACGAAUGGCUCCAUGGCUUCCGACGGAUAUGGUCCCAUGAGCGGAUCCACGAUUGACAAGGCUACUCCAGCUUCAUAAGCACCUCGAACCUGACGAAAAGAAAAGAAAUGCAAGCCGGCUCAAUGCAACAAGGAAACCAAAGAGAGAUCUUGGCUUACCUCUCUGACUAAGUUUUUCCCGUGCGAGAUUGCUUGCCUUCCCGUGACCAGCUCCAGCAUGACAACUCCAAAGCUGUAGAUGUCACUCUUGUCGCUCAGUUUCCGUGUCAGGAAGUAUUCAGGAUCCAGGUACCCCUGCAUGCAUGAAACAAAAAGGGAGCUGUCUUUCCUCCUUUCUCACGCGAAGAAGCACAACCUACCGGAGUUCCCUUCACUACGGUUGAGAGCUGGCCAAAAACGCCAUCGCCGUCCUCCUCCGGAGCAAGCUUUGACAAGCCAAAGUCGGCCACUUUCGCAUUGUCCCUGUCUCCGAUGAGAAUGUUUGUGCCUUUGAUGUCCCUGUGAAUUAUCCGGGGCUCAGCUUCAGUGUGCAAAUACAUGAUGCCCCUCGCAGCUCCCAGCGCUAUGUACACACGCCUUUUGAAGUUCAAUGGAGGUUUUUCUGAAAGAAGCAAGAAGAAGUUAAUCUCUGCAAACAAACACGUCAAACUUACCAACGAGGCGAGAAGAAAGAUUCCCUCCUCCGAUAUACUCAUACACAAGCAUCUGUAUACAGAGGAACUAAGUAUGAAAAACUACUAGAACGUGACAUACGAACCUGUUCUUGGCCAUCGAGACAGAAGCCGACGAGAGAGACGAGGUUUCGAUGGUGGAUGCGCGAUAAAAGCUCGAUUUCCGUGAAGAACUCGGUCUCCCCUUGAUGAGACUCCUCGUCCGCCCGUUUUAUAGCAACCACUUGCUUGUCGUCCAAAAUUCCCUUGUAAACUUUGCCGUAGCCACCUUUGCCAAUUUGUCGUGCUUCACUGAAUGAAUCCGUUGCCACUCCCAUCUCAUGAAAAGUAAAGGCCUUCACAUUGUCAAUCUUGACAGAUGUUGUGCCUCUGCUAACUGUGCCAAAUACAAAAGAGAGGGAGAAGCACCAUCAGUCGAACCUACUCGAGGAUUUAAAUCGUACUCACGCUUACGAAGGCUUUUCUUCGAUGGUGAUACCAGGAACCGACGCCUCGAAGCACACUUAAAGGCACUGAAUCCCACGACUAGUGCAGUGGCUAGGACAGCACCAACCAAAACUCCAGCGAGGACAGCCUUGGAAAAGUGUUUCUUUUUGCCUCCAGAGCUAGAUCCAAAAAUGUCUGAUCGGAAACAACCCAGGCUUUAGCAGGAGAACACUUUAAAAAAUGGUUCGUACCUAUGUUGCCAGGGGCAAUGAAUGCAAUCAGCUCGCGAGGGCCAAAAAUCGGACUGUCUCUGAUCUUCCACCCGGCGAACCUCUCAUAAACUCGUAGAACUUCCGAAGAGUUUAACUCCCUGUCUCUAGGUGCAUCGGUGGUCGCCGGAGGAAAUAUUUUCACGAGAAUGAAGAGCCUCGGGCCGGGUUCCCAUAGAGAUUGGUCGACGAACACCUGGCUCGGUAGCAAACUUAGAUUGCUUGCCAAGUAAUCCGAGAAAAGUUGACGGUACAAUGAGAAGAAAGUGAAGCCAGGACUCUUCAAGCGGCAUUGCACCUGAAUUGGAGCAGCACACCUGCACUUGCCGUCAUAAGCCAAGGCCGGAAUCAUCUCGCUUCCGGUACUACAAGUCUGCGAUGUGCAAACGUUCGUAACAUUGUCUCGAACCGUGUCAAUCUGCUGCAGAGCAGGAGGUUCUGGGGAACAGAGCGUUGGCAGGCUGUUUCGAGUACAAACUCGCGAGUUUCCGCUCAGGCUGAGAAAGAAGAAAAGCUAGCAUUUUAGAUAUAAGCGUUUUGUGCGGAGAUAUUGACCUGAUAGACAUAUUAGCAUCGACGUUGCCAUCAAAAUCCCCGUCAAACCCAGUAAGCAAGUUGUUCCUGAGAUCUCUGCGAAAGAACCGCGCAAGGAAGUGUGAGACGCAAAGAUAUCUUGUAAGCCCAAUACUUACAAGAUAAACUUUUGAGAAGUAACGUUACGAUUGACGAAGUCAAUAGGAAUUAAACCGCUCAGCUGAUUGUUUUGCAGCAGCCUAAAGACCGUCAAAAAGUUUAAGAAUUAAAAUGUAAGGGACUACUGUGGCUUACAAGGCUUGGAGCUUGGAACCGUGAGCUAGCGACGAAGGAAGCUGUCCGCCAAAAUUGUUGUUUGCCAGGUUUCUAACCAAGGAAAAAAAAAAAGCAAUCAAGGAUAAGCAAGGAGAUUAGAGAACGUACAUCGUUGUUACAUUCGGAGGUAGAACCGACUGUGAAAUAUUGCCCCCCAUGCUGUUACCACUCACGUCACUGCAGAAUAAACGAGAAAACAUGGUGAGCUCCUUACAGAGAUAAAACAGAAACUGACAGAUAUUCCAAACUUUCAAAUCCACGGAUGUCAGGAAGCAUUCCUCCAAGGUUGCAAUUUCUCAUACUCCUGCAAAAUGCGUGGCCGGGUAACUGAAGCAAUAAAAAUCACGAGACAUACAAUUUCAAAAGCUUUUUCAUCUGGACAUAUGAUGGAGGAACUGAUGCAUUGCCAAAGUUGUUGUUGUCAAGCUGACUGAGUCGAGAACAAGGCAUCAGCUCCGAUAAAACAUCGAGAAACUCACAUGAUUUGCAUGCUCGCGACGUUUGACAGUUCCGCAGGCAGCGGUCCGCUGAGAUUGUUAUUGUCUGCGAGACUGCAGAGAGAACAAUAUACAAGAUGAAUACACACACACACAAAAGAAAACAAGAAUUACAUGUGGAAGAGAGUUGGAAGCCGGCCUAGUUCAGGAGGAAUGAUACCGGUCAAAGAGUUAUUGUUCAUAUGCCUGGUAAAGAUGAUCUUUUCAGAACUUAGAAGCACAAGAGACUCCCUUACAGGUGCUUUAUGGAAACAAGAUUGCCAAACGUAGAGGGUAUACUCCCUGAGAUUUGGUUCUCGUCAAUCUGGAACCGGUUCAAUUUCAUCAGAUUGCCAAUUUCUUCAGGAAUUGUCCCGGUUAACUUGUUGCCAUUCAACAAUCUGUCCAGCAAACAUGUUCAAGAGAGAAGAGUAAUGAUUCAACCGCUAAGCUUACAGCAACUCGAGGUUUCCAGCAUUGCCAAGAUUGGCGGGUAUGGUUCCAGUUAUACCGUUCCACAUGAGGUUUCUGCUCGAGAAAACAACCAGAUUAUAAUUAAGAAACGUAACAGCAAGCAUACAAGAUUUGAAGGUUGGCCAUGUCGCCGACUUCCGGAGCUAUAGUUCCCGUUAGAUUACAGUUCAUCAAGUGACUGACGCAGAAGAAAAGAAAAAGAGAAAAAGUUAAAACUAUUAACAAGAAAGCAAAGCACUUUUUACAUUUCAAGCACCGAUCGACUCGUCCUGUUUGAGAGAUCCGAAUCGCUGCAUAUGAUGCCUUCCCAGUAGUCAUUGCAAGGGUCUCCAUUAUUCCAGGACUGCAGCCUUCCAGCGGUGUCUUUAAGACUCUUAUGUAACGCGUUUAACGCUCGGACUUGGACACAGAGAAGCGACAACAGUCAGCAAAUUACUAUAGCGUCAAUCGUAAUCUGCUUACCAUCUCCUGGAUCUGUAUUAGCUGCAGCGGCAGAGGGCAUUAAUGCCGCAAGAGCAAAGGGCAGCAGGAAAAUCUUGAAGAACGUUUCAGCUGCCAUGACGUCGAACUAGUUCUUGCCGUGCUUGAGCUUCAAUUGAGGAAGUAGGAGCAAAAUCUCAGCUGCCAAGACAUAAUUUUCUUUGAGAAGAGUAAACUGUGAAUUGCAAAUUUGAUGCUGAAGGCAUACCUGUAGGCGCGUCUUUGAGCUCUUCCAUACCGCCUGGCGCCCUUGCGGCCUAGUGCUUGACUUCACCAGUGAAUAUGCGGGAUAAGAUCCUGUUAGAAAUUGUCAGAACAGUCGGUUUCUUUUCUGGGACCUCCCGAGCCCAAAGAUUUUCUGUCAAAGAGGCUAAAGGCAGAAAGAAAGAACUGUAGCGAAAACAGUGUUUAGCCAGAAGAUUCUGGACAAAUCAGCCAUUUUGUCGCAUCUUACUUCAUGCAGUGCAAAGUACAAAACUUCCGUAUGAGAGAUUAUUCCAAUUUAUCACCUGAAAAGCCGUUGGAGCGUGAGCUGAAAGAAGCUAUCAACUUGAAAAGCUUACUAUCUAGGAAGAACCACUCCGAUGCACUGCGAGUCAUCGUUCUCCGCCAGCUUCUCCGACAGCACGAUACUGCUGUCCAAUCUCCUGAAAGAACUUCCUGGCUCGCUAUCAGCUAGGGAGUCAGGCCUGGUUGCAGCGAGACGAAGGGCCUCUAGAUCGCGUACGACGUCGGACAUUGAAGGACGAGCCUGUGGCUCGUCGCUCGAGCAGGCCAACGCUAGCCGCACGAACCGUUCUAGCAGCUCGGAAGCGAGUGGUCCCAUGCGGGAAUCUACCACGUUCAGAAUCAUUCCCGCCUCGAAUGCCAAUCUCACCUGCAUUAAACAAAGAAAAGUCAAUCUCCCAAACAGAAACACGGUCUUUCACCUCUCGGACAAUGUUUUUUCCAUGAGAGAUUGGUGGCAUUCCCGUUAGGAGCUCCAGCAGCACCACACCAAAGCUGUAAACGUCGCUCUUGUCUGUCAGCUUAUGGGUCAGAAAGUAUUCUGGAUCCAGGUACCCCUGCUCAAACCAUGGAAAUGGCUCGUAAAAGACAGCCUGAGUUUGAAAAUUAAUACUUACCGGUGUGCCUCUCACAACUGUUGAAACGUGUCCUGACAGUCCGUCAGCGUCUGAAACAGGUGCAAGCUUGGAAAGGCCAAAAUCAGCAACCUUCGGAUUGUUCUUCUCGUCCAAAAGAAUGUUGGUCGAUUUAAUAUCGCGAUGAAAAAUGGGAGGGUUAGCUUCCGUGUGAAGAUACAGUAUGCCUCUUGCCGCGCCCAAAGCUAUAACCAAGCGAGACCUGACAUUCAGCGGUCUUGUAAAUGUCGCUGUAAGAGCAGACAAUGUCAAAAAAGGAUAGAAGUCAAGCCAAUUGCAGAAAAACGUACGUGAUAGAUGAUCCCGUAAAGUUCCUCCACUCAUGAAUUCAUACACGAGCAUCUGUCGCAAUGAAGACCCAGUGAUCGAGCCGUCAGUUCUAGAUUUCCGGCCUACCUGUUCGUCGUCGUCCACAUAGUAGCCAAUAAGCGAAACCAGAUUUCGAUGAUGAAGUCUCGACAGCAACUGUAUUUCAUUGUGAAACUCAUUGGUUCCGUUUCGAGAGGCCUCCUCAGCACGCUUGAUAGCAACAACAGUCCCGUCGUCCAGAACUCCUCUGUAAACUUUUCCAUAGCCACCCUGACCAAUCUGGUUAGAUUCGUGAAAGGAUUCUGUGGCUCUAUCCAUCUCCUCCCAUGUGAAGCUUGUGACGCCUUCAACUUUGAAAGAUAGGUUCCUUCUCUUCUUCCACGCUGCAAGCAAUGGUACACAUCUCAGAGCUAAAACAUAGAAGAUGCAGAAGACUUACAGUUAUUUUGGUCGUCCUUGAGUUUCUGAACAAAACAGAUUAGAACGGUAGCAACGAAGCCUACAACUCCAACAAGAACACCAACAAAGACGGGAAUAGCACUGGCGAAAAAUUUCUUUCUCGAAGGUAAAAUUCCACUCGUAAAAAGUUCUGUAAGAAAACAAAACAAACAAACUAAGUGUUACAGCAAAGAAAGAAAGAAACAGAACACUUACCAAUCCCAUAAGGAGGAUCGAAGCUGAGGAGCUCUCUUGGCCCAAAUAAGGCAUUAUCAGGGAUUGACCACUCCGUGAAAGCAAGAAAGAUUCUUUUCACCUCUGGUUGAUUGAACCUUCGAUCAUCACCUAGCAUUGAAGGAAAUAUACUCAGCUUCACGAGGAGUCUCUGCCCGGCCCAGGAAUACGAGGUCACCGAAAGAUGCGACACUCCCAAUCCAGCAGCCAUGUACUUCUCGUAAGCUCGAAGAUGCGGUUCAAAGAAGCGGAAGCCCGGACUCUUCAAACGAACAAGGACCCGAAUCGGAGAAGCACACUUGCAAUUACCAUCGGCUGCCAAACCGGGGACAAGUUCGUCAAUGUCAGGAUUACAGAUGUCCUUCGCGCAGUUAUUGAUGUUGCUGCUAUCAGAUGGCCCGUGGUCAGGUACAUUAUCGAGGCUCUGAUGCUCGCAAAACUUGAAUGCGGCCUGCCAGACGCACACUUGCGCGUUUCCAAAGACCCUGCAACAAGUAUAAACUGUAGGUAAGUAGAUCCGCACGGCCAACAUGGCACAGUACCAAAGUUUGAUAUUGCUGGAGAAACUAAAACUCGGGAACGAUGAUACAGUCAGCGAGUUCCCUUGGAGAUCCCUGUCGUGAUUACAGUAGACGAUUAGACGAGUUGGAUAGCAAAAACUGAAGUACAUACAGCACAAGUAAUUUGUCGCUCGUUCUACCACGGAGGGUGAUUAAAAGCUGAUCCAGAGAACCAUUCAAGAGAUUGCUCUGUAAAGACCUGGAUUUUCCACGAAGUGUAAGCUACCAAGAGAACGCAGUGACUCACAUCAAUUCUAGAGUCUCGAUGCCCGCAGCUUCGACUGGAAUGUCGCCAGUAAACUGAUUAUUUGAGAGAUCUCUGUCAACCAAACUGUUAAAGGGCGGAUUUUCCAGUGCAUCUUACAUCGUUAUUAGCGAGGGCAAACUCAUGUUCGGAAAGACUCCGUCCAUUUGAUUUUUGCUCAAAUCCCUGCCGGAAAAAGGACGAAUCUGUAAAAAGAACUGCAUGCUUAAUUCUGCCACUCACAGAGACUGUAGCUUGGUGAGUGCAGAGAGAUCGGGCAUCGAUCCUCGCAAGUUGCAGUUUUUCAUGCUCCUGUAAGGUAAGACUUGAAUCGAGCACAACACCAUCGUUCAUCAACUUACAGCUUGAUAAGCUGUACAAGCGACGUCGUAUACGUGCUCGGAAUCUCCUGUGCAUCAAAAGGAUUGUUGUCCAACUGCCUGUAACAGAGGAGGAUCAGUUUAUGACUAUGCAUCGAGUCUGUAUACAGUAUCUGGAGUUGCGAUAUGUUGCCAAUGUCGGGUGGAAGCUUCCCAGUUAAAUUAUUGUUAUCUAAAAGUCUUCGCUACCAAAAUAUCAGUUCGACUUAAACAGGAAAAUCAGGACACGUACAUAUGGAUUGCGGGUAUCCUUCCCAAACCAGAUGGAAUACUGCCGUCAAAGGCAUUGUCGUUCAUGUGCCUGAAAAGUGGAAGGCUUAAAACAUUAUCCUGGCAGUGUCUGACGCUUACAGGUGCUUUGCAUUAACUAGCUUUGUCAAGGUUGAUGGAAUCGGCCCCGAAAAUUUGUUUUGAUCAACUUGAAGCCGAUCAAGGUUCACAAGGUUUCCAAUUUCAUCCGGAAGAUGACCAGUGAAAGAAUUCCCGUUAAGAAGCCUACGAAGAAAAGAAAUUUAUUCGAGGAACAGCGAAAACGAGGACAACUUACAAAAGCUCCAGCGACAACAGAUUCCCGAUAGAUGGAGGAAUGCUUCCACUCAGACUGUUCCACAUAAGGUCCCUAGCGAGAAAACACAAAAGCCAGUGAGUGAUGUCCAGCAGCACAAGAGGUUGCUUACAAUGCUUUGAGAGAGCUCAGGGAUCCAAUAUCAGGAGAAAGAACUCCCGAAAAGUUCGAGUUUAGCAAAUGGCUGUUCAAGGAAAAAUCAAACAAUCAAAGAAAGAACAAACGAUCAACGAGCUCUUACAUCUCCGUUACGUGAUUGACUCCCGCAGCAUCUGGAGCACAAAUAAUCCCCUCCCAGCCCUGUCCACAAGGAUCAUCGCCUUUCCAGCUCUCAAGCUUAGACAAUGGGUCUUGAACACCCCGUUGGAAGCCCCGGAGUGCUUCAGCUGGAACACAACAUGGGCAUAAGCUCAACAAAGAAAAGAAAGGAAAAGAAAAAACACGAAAACUUACUAUCCUUCGCAUUCGUGUCAGCUUCCCCGCGAUCCAGCAGAAGAAAAACUACACAAAUCAACCAGACACUCAUUCUCCUCCGAAGGAAGAAAUCCUAGCGCAAGAAAUCCAAAGCCUAGAAAUUCCUAGAGAAUGCAUCGGCCACGCAAGAAGGAAUGAGGACAAAAUACCAGCGCCUAGGAAAUAUGGAUCGCAUAGCUGGAUAAUGAAAUGCGAUGCAAAGAUUACCUCAGCUACAUCGCCGCAGCGGUCGCUGCCGAAGCACGCAAUCGGACAAGCCAAGCAUUGCUCGCUCUCCAUUUCUCGUCCUCUAGCCAGAAACCCUAAAAGGAAGAACAACAAUAAUCAUCAGGUAAAUAAAGUUACUUGAAGUAAAAACCAUUUUUACAACAGUAUAAAAGUCCUCUCUCACAGCACACUCUUCUCAGUGUAACCUCGUCAUCUCCUCUACACGCUUGCAAAGCUCUUCCACGGACACGCUCAUGGCCGCCGAGACUUCGUCCAUCUUGGCCCGGUUUAAAUCCAGGAACGACUCGAUGAGAUCGCCGUCGAGGAAGUUCUUGGCGUCGGCGUUCUUCCUCUCGCUGCUAAACGAUCGCCACUGCUCGUGGCUCAGCCCCCCGACGCCUUUGAUCACCUUGGCCAGGCAGUGCUGGAGCCGCUGGAGGAAGUUGAACUGUUCUUGCUGGAGCGAGGCCACCACUCCGAUCACUCCGUUGACGGUGCCGAAGAUCACAGUCGGGAUCUGGCUCGUCUCGUUGUCCGGCAAGCGCAUCACCAGCGAGCCAUGCCGGAACCGGUUGACAAACUCGCCAAGGUGGUACUCUCCCACCACUUCCAGCCGGCCUCUCUCCUCGUCCGUCGCAGCGUCGCUGUUCUUCCUCACCGUGAAGAGGUUGAAGCUGUUCUCGGCUCCGAGGUAGAUGUCGUCGUCCAGGAUCUCCACAGCAGUCAUCCAGUUUGCGUUGUAAUCCCGCGCGCGUUCUUCGAUCGCUCCUUCCUCCGGCUGUGAAGUAGUAAACAGUCCAUAAGCAAGAAAACACUCUGUACAAAGAGCAUACCUUGUAGAGAAGUAGCGAUAUGCUCUUCAUGAGAUCGCCCACGACGAUGAAAUCUCCGCGAGAUUGCACGUAGAGUGCUAGGAUGUGGCCGUGGUGACCGCACUCCGACUGAAGCUCCCGAGUGCUAUCCCGCUGUGUCCAUUUGUAGAGCUGGAUUUUCUGGUUGAUGCCCGCUAGGAGCUUCCCGUUGAAGGCGUUUAGAUUGUACACAGCUCCUUUCGUUUCCUUCUCAGUAACGAGUUGGAACUUGCCAUCUUCUACAGUGAAGAUCAAUAUACGUCCCUAGAGAAGCAAAGAAGAAGCUCAGCAGAGACCUUUAGGAAAAGCAUUUGCUUCGUACCUUGCUUGGUUCGUUUUCCUCGGGUAGAGCAUAGGCUGUUCCAACGCAGUAAUACGUAGCCGGGUCAUCAGUGAAGCUGCACGUAAUGAUCGUGCAGCCGUUCUCGAAUGUGUCCAGGUUAUACGAGCCUAAAACUUCGAAGGUCUGGUCGUCCAGCAACUUUACGAAAUGGCUUUCGUGAUCCUCCCCGUUUGGGUUGCUAUAAAACCUUGCGGUGCAAAGGCCAAACGUCCGAGUCUGCUCCUGGUGACAGAUCCUGCGAGGGUGUUCCCCAAGUGCCACCGUGCGUAUAUGUAGCUUCUGGAUAUCAUCAAUCGUUCCGAUUGUGAGCUCUCCCUCCUUUCCAAUUGCCAGGCUGAUUACGACAAACAAAAGCUUGUUAAUAGAGCUCACAAAAGAGAACUAGAAACAGACCUGUCGGGAAAAGAUGCAGAGUUGAAAGGACACAUGUGAUUCACCUCCUUCAGAUUCACGUUGCUGUAAAGCAGCUUCUUGUUGCUACUGUAAAUGACCGUAGGCCGAUCCGACGCCGCAAACACAUGAGUUGCAUUCUUAGAUCUGAAAGUCCGGAGCAUGAUCGGCUGUGUGCCCAAGGAAAUCUUUUUUCUGUCGGAAAGUUGACCGGUACUGGUGUCGAUCAGAAAAUUGAAAAGAUGGCCGUCUCCUAAAGCGCAAAGCAAAUAUGAGACCUGCCAGAGAGAGUUAGUGUCUGGUUUGCAAGAAAAGUCCUGUGAACUUACUCCUUCAAAUGCACAUAUUAAAACCGAGCGUGGUAUAAUUUCACCGCCGAGACUUUCUUUCGCCAAAACCUCAAGGUUGGGUAAAGAAAAAACUUGCACACUGAUAUCCGUCCACAUUCCCACCGCUGCUAUAUUGCUACGAUCGGGAUCGGUACCAAUCGGAUUUAUAUCCAGACACGAUAUCUCAUUCUGGAGUUGUACGUGCUUCACUUCCGUCAGAGACCCGCGACCGAUUUCAAUAUAAACAAGAUUUCCACCACCAGUCGCGAGAAGAACCUGUUAAACAAAGCUGGUUGUACAUACAUGGAUUAACUGCACAAUACCUGCGAAGCAUUGGCUGUGGCCACGUUUAUUGCAACUCCAGACGGAGUUCUCCACUCCGUCAAUUGCCGUCGAGAAGUGGCAUCAACCAGCCUCAAAGAAGUCGAAGUUACCUGCAUAAAAAAUCCCAGUAAAUUCCAUCCAGCGGUGUCUAGAAUCUCGUACCUGAAUAAUCUGGUCGUGAAUAGCGUUAUGGCAGAAGAGAGUUUGUGCUUCGGAAUCAAAACCUUCAAUCUCAGUUUCCUCGAGUUCAUCAUCCAUAUUCAUGGCCAGGAUUCUUGUCUCGCUGAUGAAACUGACCACCAGGAAUAUGUCAAAGACAUCCUUGGACGUGGCUCGUAAAGACCACAUGCCUUUAAUACCUUGAAGCUCAGCAGAGGCCUAUGAUAUCAGCAAGGUUAGAACAGGGAACCAUAGCGGAAAGCAUUACCUGCUCGUUGAUGCCGAUACCAUUUCUGACAAUACGCAAGGAUCCAUCCUUGUAUGCACCAGAGCACGUCACUACUUGCCCUUGACCUUGCCUCUCCAGGUCCACUACGCAGAGAUCGACAAUUGGCCCAAGAUUGACAAAACUCUCUAGAACCUCCACAUAAGAGUUUCUUGAGUCUACUUGCGCGUUCAGUUUUAUGAGCUGCAGCAUCACAACCACUUCAGAAUUUUUAAAACGAGAAAAAUCCUGUCGACUCACCUGUGAAUCCCCGUAGCUGGAGCCAACAUAAACAACCCCGUUGUCAAGGUAGGAAAGACUUGAUGCAGCGGAGGUCUCCCCGAGCAGUUCAACUUUCAAACCCAGUACCCUGUAUCAAGAAAUUUGAUACCAUAAGAAAAUCUAGCUCGUCUUCAAACCUGUCCCUCUCGUGAGUGAUCACAAGCAAAUGUAGCGAUCCAGUAUGAUCACUGAGCAAAUACCGUGAUCCAUCAGCAUCCACUUUCCCAUAUGCUUUCGUGAUUGACUGCAACAUACAAUAUCAGUUGCUGUAAACCUUGCUCGCUUUACAACUUACAGGCCGGAUGGGAAUAGCCUUGAAUGCUGAACCGCUGUAGUAAACGAUGGUUUGCUCACCAAUUAUUAUAACGCCACCAAGGGGUGUUGGCACGGGAAUAAGCAUACCGGCUCCAUUGUCGAGGUUAUUCUGCAACCAUGGCCCCUCACCAAAAUCCUUCUCUUUCAGUUGUAUCUCGUAUGUUUUGACGUGACGAGCAUCUUUGUUGUCCUGUCAAAUGAAGCAAACAUUCGCCAAGUUUUUUCCUAAAAGGAUAUUGAAGGAAACCGAACCUGGUAAAGGACAGCAAUUGUUGGUUUCGAGCAGCCAUACAGGAACUUUAUGUCCAGCACUUGCAGUUCUUCCAGCCUAAGAUUGACAAUCCUAAGCGUUGCACACAGGAAAAACAUUCUUACCUGAUGUUAAACGCCUCUUUCAGCUGUCCUUUGUUGUCGAUCGGUAUUACCUUUAUCCAGGCAACCACAAUCACGGUCAGCUAUCAGAAGUAGCGCUGAAACAAGUUUACUUUGAACAAGCCAUCGUAGAGGUGAAGACCAAUCAGCCUACACUCUGGAUCAACAAUGCCGAUCUGAAAGACAAAAAAAAAAAAAAAAAACACGAUGCGUCAUAUAGAACUCAGAGAGUUACACUGCAACCUGUCCAUUAUCCGUCGGCCGACCAAUUCGAUCUGAAACGUCACCCAUUGCCCUGUCCAAACAGGAAACAAAAAUGAGACUUGCUCUUGAAAAACUCAAGGUAACCUCGUGACAAGUUCCGUCGUCUCCGAAUCCCAUUGUAAGACACAAAACUUGUAUCUCUCCGUGGAGACGAACAGGACAUCCUGGGUCUCUCCCUGUGGUGCGAGAAAAUGAGAAAAGAUCCGAGACGAGAAAGAUUCAUACCGGAGGCCUGAAGAGCUCCAAGGUUGCAAUCCGGCCAUAGAUUGGCACGUCCAAAAGAGGCUGGAGGAGAACGAGAGACACUUAGAACUAAACGAAAAACAAAGAGCAGGCGUGAAAGAGUACCUGGAGACCUUGAGCUGUGAGCAAGUGAAAUUCAAUCCGUGUACAUUUUCUGGAGGAAAUGAUUGAGUGAGAGGAGAAGCGCAAGAGGAGCUAAACAGGGACUUACGCGAUGAUGAGAUUGAGCUCGUGGGGGCUCGUGAAAUUUCCAACGCACGAGUGCGUCACAUUGGUUGGCUUGUGCGCAGUGACGACGUAAUUCCAGACGCUCAUCGCUGCCCUUCCACGCCCAGGCGGAGCCUUUGAUGCCCUACCUAGCUCCCCAAAAACCCUAGACUCGAAGAUUAAAAAUAAAAGUUCAAUAAAAAAGCGUGAGUAAUUGAGAACUUUUAGGUUAUUUUAUGUAAAACUAAAAAAUUAAAGAUUAUUAGUUUUAUUUGAUAGAAAUUAAGAAUUUGUAAGUAUUUUAAUGAUAUAAAAGAGUUUAAAUAUUUAAAAAUCUAUUUCAUAAUUUAAAUAUAAAGAUGUGUGAUAAGGAGAUUUGUGAUUGCAAAAUUAAAUGAUUAAGUGUGUGAGGACCAUUUGCUUUAUAUAAGCUAAGGUUUUUAAGUUAAUUAUAUUUCUGUAUCUUAUGCACUCACAUUAAUGAAGUACAUCUCCAUUAUUAAAUAGCAAAACGCUUAUAAUUGUUACUUCUUCACCAAUACUUUCAACUAGGGUUUAUAUAAGUGAAUACAUGUUAAAAGAGGAAACAUUAUAGAAUUUUUUUUUUUAUAAUUCACCCCAUUAGAAAAUAACAACAAUGCAUAUGAAUAGAAGAAGAAGAUUUCAAAAAGGCCAUUAAAUGAUGGGCUAAAUAAAAAGGUUACAUUUAAAAAAUAUAACAUUUUAAAGUCAUUGUUAUCAGCUUAGAGAGAUGGAAUUCAAAAGAAAAAAUUUAAAAAUUUAAAAUUAUGCUUAUACUUGAAAAUGCAAUCCUUGAAAAACUCUUUAUAAUUUGCCAAAAAAUUAAGUAACUAAUGUGGAAAAUCAGUGUUAUAAAAGUAAUAGUUUUUUUUAGCUCCCACGAAGAACCAAACCCAUUCUCCCAUAGAAUACUUGAAAGAUUGUGAUAAAGUGGAUUUUUAAAACACCAUCUAAAACUCAUAUAUAAAAUUGUAAAAUCAUUAGGAAUUAACUGCAUAAAGUUUAUAAACAAGUCUGUCAUAGAUGCAACCUACCAAAACUUAAAGAGUAUAUACACCAUUACAAGAUACAUACUAGAGAGAAUAUAGAACUAUGAUGAAGUUGUAAUAUUUAUUAGUCAAAUUCAAGGUGUGAAGGUGUUAACUCUAUAAAGUUUUAAAUUGUUUUACAUAAUCACUCUAAAUAAUAUUGAGUAUCUCACUACACUGACAUAUUGCAAUGCAGGAGAUAAAUAAUUCUAAAUAUAUACAUCUUCCAAACAGAUUAAAGAAUGGCUAACUAGAUAAUAGGUUGUUAGUCAAGUGUAUUAACUAUUAGUGAAAAAGCAUGGAUCAAUAAUGUUUUAUAUCUUAGUUGUUUUGACUACUUUGUAAAAUUUAUAGACUGUACACUUACACAUUUUUAUAGUAGAUGGUCAUAAAAGCUAUUGCAACUUUGUGGCUUUGGUGAAAAUAGCAUCCCUAGGCAUUAACAUAACACUAAUCCCACCUAUACAUCACAAAAACUAUAUGUUUUUAGAUCAUUCAAAAUUAGUUUUUAAGAAUUUUGUUAUCGAUAAAGAUGGAUGAUGAAUAUAAUACUUACAAAAAAGGAUAUUGCUUAAUUGGUUUCAAAAGUGUCACUUAUUGCACUUAAAGAGUAACAUCAAAGCUAGGUUCAUACAUUAUCUAUUAAACAACAUAAGAAUGAAUAAUGAGUAUAGAGUGAAUGCAUUAUACACAACCACCUUGGAAGAAAUUUAAUGUAAGAAAUUAAAGAGAAUAACUCAAGAGACACUCUAUAAGGGUUUAAAUAUAGAAGAAAAAGGCUUAUGAACAAAAAUGCACCCUUUUUUUCAAUUAAUUAAUGAUUUUAAAAUAUUUAGAGUUAAAUGUCCUUAAGUUUGAAUACUACUAGGCUAGAUGACUUUUUGGGAAGCUUAAAUUUAUAAGCUUAUAUUCAAGUAGUAAAGGACUUAAUGAUGAUGACUGAAGACUAUAACAAUGAAAGAAAUAACAAAAAAACCAUAAAGGAAAUCAAGAUAACAAAGCAAAACUAGCAAAACUAGUAUUCAAAACUUGCAAUGUUUCAUCACCAAGACUUCUAAGCUUGCUUAUUAUAAUAGGCAUUGCAAUUAACUUAAAGAAAUUUUAUGUUAAGCUUACAAAAAAAAUUGAAAAGAAGGCACAUAUAGACGAAGAGAAAAAGUAAAGAAAGAACACUAAGAAACAACAACUCAAACAAAAGGCUCACAAACAAAACAAAGCUAAAAGAAAAAAAAAAAGGGAGAAAUACAUGUUGGAAUUUACAACUUAAUUAAGACACAUCUUUUAUAUACUUGGAAAGAAUGAGUAAAGAUCACCACCACCUCCAAAAAAUGAGUUAAGCAAACUUCAAUCUCAAGCUACAAGAAGCUGUAAGAUCUACAUGAGGAGGCUAGAGAGAGAAUCACAAUAUAGACAAUAAUGAAAUCUAUAUUCCUACUCAAACACAA